UACAGAGGUGGCAAGCGUUGUUCGGAAUUACUGGGCGUAAAGGGCGCGUAGGCGGCCUACUAAGUCAGACGUGAAAUCCCCCGGCUUAACCUGGGAACUGCGUCUGAUACUGGAAGGCUUGAGGAUGGGAGAGGGAUGUAGAAUUCCAGGUGUAGCGGUGAAAUGCGUAGAUAUCUGGAGGAAUACCGGUGGCGAAGGCGGCAUCCUGGACCAUUACUGACGCUGAGGCGCGAAAGCUAGGGGAGCAAGCGGG
rnacentral:rRNA from 1 species